AGCCCUUUGGGCUCCCAGGGCUCCUCCGGGGCUGCUCCUUCUGCCCAGCCCAGCACAGGGUCUGGGGUCCCGGCCCUCAGCAGGUGAGGUCUCACCUGAGGGCUGACCUGAGCCUCGGCGGUGACCGGGACAGUCCCCGGGGCUGUGCUCCCGCAGGAGGCCACCCAGCAGCCUAAAUAAAUGUUUAUGAGCCAAGUAAUGCUUCCCCCGCCCCACCACGUCAGGCAUCUUGUGCUUUCCGCAUUUCCCCAGCCCCCCGUGACGGUCCCUGGCUGAUGCUGUAAAGGUACAUAUGCAUUAUACACGCACUAUGUAAAAUAUAUACAGAAUAUUGUCCUUCCUCUAGGAGUUAUCCCUAGCACUUGGGUCUCCCUGGAGGAACUGGAUUUUGCCGAUUUCCCGGUUUUUGAGCCCGCUAGAGGGAGGUCUGCACAAAGCGUGUGUUGAACUGUGCCAGGCAGGACGAGCAGGGCUUGGACGGGAAUUAGCGCUGACUGCAAAUAAAAAUAACUGAUGAACGCUGCUUAAAAACCAGGAAAGAAAAACAGAAGGGACCAGUAUGUCUUUUUAAAAAUAAAAACACUCCCUUUGCUGGUGUAUUUAGUUACAGCUCGGCCACAGCGUGGGGUUGCUGCUGCAGCUUGCUCUGCUUUCUGCUUUGGUGAAGCCCUAAAUGUGCUGUCCUGUCUUUUCCAGCCGGAAUUCUAUCUGUAUGUGUGUCUAGGCAGGAUCAGCCAUCCUUAACAUCCAGCUUUGCCGGCAGUGGAAAAGGGUGUAGGACACUUUUCCUGAAAAAUCAUACAGCAUUUACCUCAAAUGUCACUUACUUGGUGAGGCCACACCAAUUUAAAUUUGCAGUGGUUUGGGAUUUGUUGCAAGUUGACAUUACUGGGCCGGGAGCUCCCCUGUACCUGGGCACCAGAAACCCAUAGUGAGGAAAUGAAGGAAUUUCAACUUGAUUUGCACAGCACUUCACUUAAGCUUGUGUCUUCAGAUCACAAAGUUGUAGUUUCUAUGGUUGAAAGAGACAAGGAAGAAUGGGUUAUCCUCCUGUGUUUGGAUAAAAUGGUCUUUUCUGCAGUAUUGGCUGUACUUUGAAAAACUGCUGGAUUUCACAGAGCAGAGGAGAAAGAGCUGGCUGGAACUGCAGGCAGCAGCACAGGAGCAGUGCAGACAUCUCCCAGCUGGCCCUGAAGGCACUGAGGGGCACUGACCCUGCUCCACUCAGAGGAGAAUGGGCUCCAAGCAAACAGAAAACUGUCCUGAGCAUUGUCAUGAGGGAGUAGGACUGAGCAUGGAUGGUCCUGCUUCGACUUAAUAGGUCCAAAGGAACACAGGUGCCCACAUCCAACUUCAAUAUUUACAGUUUCCAGACAUCUGUCCAUGGCUGUGGGGACAUGGAAAGGCAGGUGUGGAUCAGAAAGCACAGCUCACCCCAGCUGGGCUGUCCCUGUGGCAGGAGGGCACUGUGGGCUGGCUGAAUGCUGUUGUCACCCCGGUGCAUUAUCCCAGGUAAUAUUUCUGUUAUGAAAACUGACCUAGAAUGAGUCUGGCCCCAGGUCUGGGGCUGCAACACUAGGACUGCACCCAUAUCCAACCUGCCAAAGCCUCGGGGCUUGGCUGAGUCCGAGCUGUGGGAGGAGGCUGCGGCUCCUGGGCAUGGCUGUUGCUCCCCAUCCUCACUAGCUCUGCUCUUGGAACUGCUCUGCCUUAUAAAAUAUUAAACAUGAGGCUGCAGUGAGGGGUGAGACCCGAGCUGCUCCAGGCUGCAGGGUCAUUUCCAUGCUCUGGCACAACAAAUUCCUUCUCCCUGAAAGGGAGUGAGACAUUUUCACAGCACAUGUCUGAGGUGCACCCAUCUCGCUGCAGUCUGUGCCCUACAGGGAAGGCUCAGGGCACACUAUUAAAUCUUUGCCCUGGUUUCAAUCUCUGAUUUAAGCACAGCUCUCUUGUGUGCUCUGCUGAGAGCCACACAGGACAGGUGAAACAGCCCCAACUCCUCGGUCACUGUGGGGUGGCAGCCUUGUGUAACCAUGGAGAAAAUGUGUGACGUGGUACGGAAAGGAGCACAGCAUCCUUCACCAAGCCUUGCUUUAGUGCCCGAGUCCCAGGUUGGUUUAGGACUCUGUGGCUGCUUCCUUCCAGCACCUGCACACCCUCACAGAGACCCUGAUGACAUGGUUGUAUUUGUGCAGCUUGCUCAGGCCUGGGUUUUUGCCAACAGGGGCAUUUAUCCAGCACCUCAUGCACGUUAACAGUUUUCCUUUCAGUGAGCACUGCCACCAGAUUCACCAGGAGUAAAAACUGCCACGGAUCCACUGAGGUCAGCAGAGGGAAACUGACCCAUGCCAGUGCAGAUCUCAGCUAAAAAGCAAGGGGAGAAGAGGGAAAGACAUGCCAAGAUGAGCA